rnacentral:lncRNA from 1 species
ACACUAAAAUUAGCUUUUAUAUUUUCAAAAUCACUUUUAAACCUCUCAAAAGUAAUCUCAAACAAGCCCUAAGUAUUAUAAAUUAGGACAUUGUCUGAACCCCAAGCCUAAAUUAGGGUAAUGUCUAACAAAAAAAUAUGAUUAUGAAUACUAUUAAGAACUAAAACCAAAAGGAAAAUAAAAAGCUCCACACAUUAAAGUCUCAUGAAAAACUGGGGAAUUUUAAGGGACUAGCCUACCUACCUUAGCUGUUGUAAAUAAAAAUCACUUUCCAAUCGGAAAAAUGAUAUAGUUCAGUGUUCGUAACAACACAUACUACCAUCAACAACACAACAUAAACACCAACAACACAAUACAAACAUGAAAAAAAACAUCAAAACAAAACGAAAAAAAUUACAAAAGAAAACACAACAAACCACAUAGAGACACUAAAACAAGGUGACUACUUGGAUAAUCUACUCAAUGAAUUUCUUAUGAGGCCAUCAGGUCGUUGAAGCACCACUUUUAAAGCCAAUUCUAACUCUAAAACAAGUUUACUUUCUCGAUUUGGACACUGUAGCAACAUUAUGGAUACCAAGAACAACCUCCUUGAGCAAAGACACCAUAACAAUUAAAAUGGCAGCAAACAAUCAAACAACAGUGGCGGCAACAAUAGCAGCAUCAUCAGUAGCAACACACUAAUAGUAACACUAACACUAUUACUAACAUUAAAACUAAUACUAAUAAUUAGAGUUGGCAAAAUAAGUCAUUGAGUCAACUUCGUAUGAUGUCAAAUUCAGGGUAACCUAGACAUAACCCAUUUAAAAUCAUGUCAAACAUUGAGACCCUAACCCAACAAAAAAAAAAGAUAUUUAAUUUAACGAGAUUUACAACACACACACACACACACACAUAUAAUAUUAUUUAUUGAUGUUAUAAAAUAUACAUAUCUAUCACAAUAUAUAUAUAUAUAUAUAUAUAUAUAUAUAUAUAUAUAUACAAAAUUAAUAUUAUAUAUUGAUAUUAUAAAAUAUAUAUGUCUACCAAUAUUUUACACAUUUUCACUAUUAGAGUGAUGAUACAACCACAAAUUUUUAUACAAACUUAUUUUGUACAAAUUGAUUUGGCAUUAAUUUAUUGGGUGAAUGAAAAUACAAAAUAAUAAAAAUAAAUCACGUGGGUCAAGAGAUAUUUAAUUUAACCAAUUUUAUCAUACCACAUCAGUUUGUACAAAAUAAAUUUGUACAAGAGUUUGUAGCUAUAUUAUUACUCAAAAUUAUAUAAAUAAAACAUCAUAUAUACAAUCAUCUUUAAAAAAAAAUCAUGUCUCAAUAUUUGAGUUUUGAUGAUGAGAACCUACAAAUUGAUUUAGAAUAGAAAAUAUAAUUAUGUCAUUAAUAGCAUAAAUAAAUCAAAAACUUAACCCCCACCCAACACGGAAAAAAUCUUGUCAACUGGAACAUGUUCCAUUUAAUAAUUGUAUCAAAUUUGAUGACUCAUAUCUAUUUAUUUGUGUCAUGUUCAUAUCGGAUAAUCAGAUACUGUCAAAUUUUACGAAUAACAAAAAUAAAAAAGAAAAAUCUAUAGAAAAGUUAAAACAAUAAAAAUGAAAAUCGGUUGGAAUUUGUUUGUUUUUGGGCCUCUGUCGCAGUGGUGGUUGGGGGAAAGAUGUGGCUAUGUUUGGCUUAGGGCGUUGCUGAGUGUUGAUAGGUAGUUAAUAGGACUUGCAGCUUGGAGUUAGGUUGUGGGUGGCAGUGGCAUUUACGGUUUGUAGGUGGUCGACUUUCAGAGGCAACGACUUGGAAUUUGUAAACGAUUGAUUUGUGGUGGCGUCAAGCGUGUUGAAAGCUGAGAAAUGGUGGCAGUGGUAAGGUUUUGUGCUUUUUGUCCUGGUGUCUAGGUGUUAAGGGGGUUGUGUUGGAGGCGGCAUCAAAUAAAGAGAAAAGAAGAGAAAAAUUGAGUAAAUCAUAAAAAAUUUACUCGCACGAACGAAGCUCAAUUUAAUGUCCAAUUCUCUUACCUUUAAACUCUAAAAUUUGUUAAUCUAACCAUUAAAAAAAAAACAACUCGAUAUGUUAGAAAAUUUUCAGAUUAUAACACAAAAAAUCAUUAAUUUUUUUUUUUUUGUUUAAGCAACUCAAUAUGUUGAACAUUUAUUGUAAGGCUCAGUGUUGUUCACAAGAGUCUAAGAGUAGAAAAAUCUGGUGUUAUUGUGUCACAAAAAGGAACAUUGAGUAUGUGAAUGUCCUUAGUAGGAAGUGAACAUAUGCAGAAAGAAAGUGGUGAAUGGUGCUCUCUGUUGUGUAAAUUUUAUUGAACUCGCAAGUGCAUGAAUCUAUUGUAGAAUAUAUCAACAGUCACGAGUGUCGAUCCCACGAGGAGGUGGAUUUUAAUUGCGUGUAGAGUUAAUUUUCUAAGUGGGUGGUUGGAUUUGUGGUGAAAAUGAUUUAAAUUAUCUUAAAAUUUAAAUUAGAAUGGUGAGAAUAAGUUGAAGCGAAAACUAUUAAAAUGAAGCGUUUGGGUUUCUGGAUCUGCACUCAACAUGCACCAUGAGAUUAAUAUUCCUUAUUAGUGCCAAUUAAAUCAUGAGUAGGGUUUCCACUCCUCAUGAACCUCGCUCCAAUAAAUAUGGUGCUAAGUGCUUAUCGUGCCAAAUAGUAAUAACCUUGCACUACGGAGACGGUUAUACUAGUACAAUAGCUAAACAAGAUUAUUACUAUAUGUCGAUGAAAAGUCAAAACAUCCAAAAAAAUUAGAGGGGAAGAGAAAGUAAAUUUACCAAAUUAAGCCCAUAGAACAUGUUGAGACUUCACUUUCAAUCCAAACUUAAAAGAAAAUUAGUUACUCAUAAGUAAACUAUGGGUAAAAUGAAAAUUAUUAAAAUACGUAGAAAAUACAAGAUAAAGAAGGAAUUACAGAAAAUAGAGCUCAAAAAUGAAUUUAGGGUGCCAAAUUAGGGGGGAGCCCCUUAUUUAUAGAUAUAAUGAGUAAAUCAUGACCAUUUGAUUAAAAUAAUUUGGAUGCUUAGGAUUGCGACACGUGGCAAGUUCGAAUUGGAUAUAACACAUUAUUAGGGCUGGCAUUUCGUGUAUAUGCAUGUACCGUAUGCACGUUUUUCGGUCCACUAACAUACUGUCACGUCACUGGUCAACGCCACAUCAUCAGUCAACACCAUAUAAGCAGUCAAUGUCACAUCAUUCGUCCAAUCGAAUACUGCCACAUCAUUGGUCAGUGCCACAUCAUCGUACCGUAUAUGUGAACAGUGUCAUGAACAAUAUUGUACAUGUGAACAAUGUCGUUUAUCAUUUUAUGCUCCUCCUAAGGUUUUCGACUGUUCUGAGUUUAAAAUUGUUGUCUGUUUUGCUAUAUAAUCUCUCCUUCAUUGUGAAAUGGCCAUGAUGUCUCCUAAAAUACAUAAAAUACUUAAUAUAAUAAAACACACAUAAUUAAAUCACAAAUGACUUAAAUACAUAAAAGUAUGGAUGUUAGUGAGACUUGAAGUGUAAAAUAACGAUUUUCUCCUUUAUAAAUAUACACUUUCUAGCACUCAACAUUUUUUUCUUCAUAUGGUUUUUGUUUUAGGCUUGUUUGGUAUAACUAAUUUAAUAAACAUAAGUGUUUAUUUAAUCUCAUAAGCUCUUAUAAUAAUUUUUGUUGUUGUUUGGUUGUUUUUCUAAUAGAGCUUUUGAAGGUUAAAUAAGUUAUUUUGCCUCUACUAGUAAAAGCUCAAAUUUUAGAUUUUUGGGAAUAGAGGUUGAAUUUGUUUUAAAUGUUAAAAUAUCUAAAAUAUCAUUUACUUGUUUAACAAUCGUAU